CUCCUACGGGAGGCAGCAGUGGGGAAUUUUGGACAAUGGGCGAAAGCCUGAUCCAGCCAUUCCGCGUGAGUGAAGAAGGCCUUCGGGUUGUAAAGCUCUUUCGCAAGGGAAGAAAACUUACCUUCUAAUAAAGGGUGAGGUUGACGGUACCUUGAUAAGAAGCACCGGCUAACUACGUGCCAGCAGCCGCGGUAAUACGUAGGGUGCGAGCGUUAAUCGGAAUUACUGGGCGUAAAGCGUGCGCAGGCGGUUUUGUAAGUCAGAUGUGAAAUCCCCGAGCUCAACUUGGGAACUGCGUUUGAAACUACAAGACUAGAAUAUGUCAGAGGGGGGUAGAAUUCCACGUGUAGCAGUGAAAUGCGUAGAGAUGUGGAGGAAUACCAAUGGCGAAGGCAGCCCCCUGGGAUAAUAUUGACGCUCAUGCACGAAAGCGUGGGGAGCAAACAGGAUUAGAUACCCUGGUAGUCCACGCCCUAAACGAUGUCUACUAGUUGUUGGUGGAGUAAAAUCCAUGAGUAACGCA
rnacentral:rRNA from 1 species